rfam:Cyphomyrmex costatus contig15730, whole genome shotgun sequence.
AAGAUCGUACUUCACAGGAUCAGUUCUGUAGGAGUUGAUCUCAUUCUCCCUCCCUAACAUGGGAGUUGAUGUAACCACGACGAUGAGGAAUAGUCCUCUUCUCUGAGCGUGAGAACGACAUGAAUUCUCGACGUGUUCGAGAGCUCUGUCAUCAAUGAUCGUUCACUCUCUGUACUCAGUGUAGAGGGGAUGGGAAGUAGGACUUUCUGAGUGGU